rnacentral:rRNA from 1 species
UGUAAGCGUAUACCAAAGUUGUUGCAGUUAAAACGCUCGUAGUCGAAUUUUGGUGUGAGUUAUGGAGACUCCUACUGGAUGUUGAAGUAACUUCGCCUUUGUGGAGGGGGGUGUGGUGGUACUUUAUUGUAUUGCUGCAUUUCCGCCACUGUUUACUGUGAAAAAAUUAGAGUGUUCAAAGCGAGCGUUUGCCAUGAAUACAUUAGCAUGGAAUAAUAGAAUAGGACCUGGUUCUGUUUUAUUGGUUUGUCUGUAUCAGGUAAUGAUUAACAGGGACGGUCGGGGGUAUUUGUAUUCCAGCGUUAGAGGUGAAAUUCUUGGAUCGCUGGAAGACAGACAGCUGCGAAAGCGUCUACCAAGGACGUUUNCAUUG